rnacentral:RNase_P_RNA from 1 species
UGAGUAAGCGAGACGGCUGCGCGAGUUUUUGACUCGUGAGGAAAGUCCGGGCUCCGUAGAGCAAGGAUGCCGGAUAACGUCCGGCGGGGGCAACCCUAGGGAAAGUGCAACAGAAACAUACCGCCGAACCAAGCUUGUCUAUUUGGUGUUUUGACCGGAGAUGGCAAGCGCAGGAUUUUUUGGUCAUAUGGGGUGCAGAGGGAAAGCGUGACGACGAAGUGUAUAUAAAUACACGAGGAGAAGCGAUUGACCGAUAAGCCACAUAUGGGCAAAAAAGACAAGCUUGGUGGUAAGGUUGAAAUGGCGAGGUAAGAGCUCACCGGAGGCAUGGAGACAUGUCUGCCGUGUAAACCCCAUUCGGAGCAAGACCAAGAUAGGGCAGGGGCAGUAAUGCCCCAAGUGUGCGGCUGCUCGUCGCCGUCCGGUAGGUAGGUCGCAGGUGGAUGCGAGAGCAUCCCGGAGGUCGUCAGCAAUGGCGAUCCCAGAUAGAUGGUCGUCACCUCUCGCAAUGCGGGAGGAUACAGAACCCGGCUUAUUGCUUGCUCAUAUG